GGCUGUGGCUCAGUGGUAGAAUGCUUUCCUAGCACGUAUGAGGCACUGAGUUCAAUCCCCAGCACCA
rnacentral:tRNA from 1 species